AACGAACGCUGGCGGCAUGCCUAACACAUGCAAGUCGAACGAGACCUUCGGGUCUAGUGGCGCACGGGUGCGUAACGCGUGGGAACCUGCCCUUAGGUUCGGAAUAACUCCCCGAAAGGGGUGCUAAUACCGGAUAAUGUCUUCGGACCAAAGAUUUAUCGCCUUUGGAUGGGCCCGCGUUGGAUUAGCUAGUUGGUAGGGUAAAAGCCUACCAAGGCGACGAUCCAUAGCUGGUCUGAGAGGAUGAUCAGCCACACUGGGACUGAGACACGGCCCAGACUGCUGCGGGAGGGAGGAGUGGGGAAUAAUGGACAAGGGGCGAAAGCCGGACCCACGAGUGCGGGGGGAGGGAUGAAGGCUUUGGGGUUGAAAACCUUUUUUACCCGGGGUGAAAUAGAAAACCCGGGGAAAAAAAGCCGGGGAAAACCCCG
rnacentral:rRNA from 1 species